CAGGGGGAUCCCCAGCAGUGUGCUGGCGGCAGGGACCCUGACAAGGUCUGGAGCCUCAGAGCGCACCUGCCCCCACUUACAAGCCCCGGCCUCGGGGAUUGGGUGGAGUGUCCCCUGCCUCCAACGGCUCCCAGAUGAAUAAAACUUUAUCAUGGUAUGCAUGUACAGGAGACAUGUAUAUAGGUACCCACUGUCCUGAUUUCCAUCACCAUAGAUGAGUUUGGCCUGUUUUUGAAUUUUGUAUGAGAGAAACAUACAGCAUGUUCCUCUUUUCAUGUCUGGCUUUGUCUCUUAGCAUGGCGCCCAUCAGGUCCAUCCAUGGCUGUGUAUAUCCACGUCCAUUCCUUUUCAUGGUGAAUGGGCUUCCACUGGGUGGACAUGCAAGGUCUACUGUGGACAGACAUCUUGGUUGUUUUUGGGUUUUGAUGAUUUUGAAUAAAGCUGCUAUGAACAUUCAUGUACAAGUCUUUUGAUGGACACGUAUGCUAAGUUUUGUGCUAUGGGCUUAGGGUAGAUCUGCUGGGU
rnacentral:lncRNA from 10 species